UCCCUGGUGGCCUAGUGGUUAGGAGUCAGUGCUCUUAUCGCUGCAGCCUGGGUUCAAUCCCUAGUCUGGGAA
rnacentral:tRNA from 1 species